rnacentral:rRNA from 1 species
AUGCCUUCUUCAUUUCGAAUUUUUUCUUUUCGCUUUCUCGCCCCCUCGUCUCUUCCCCUUCCUAUUUUUCCAGCGGCGGAUACCUCGGUUGGUGGUCAGGUGUCCAGCGCUCUCCCAUCAGUUGCGCCGCCGCAUCUCCCGGCCGAGGUUUCUUACCUUGACCGUGUGCACUCUGGGUUGAAUUCUCUUCCUGACAGCAAGCCUAGAAUUCUGGUAUGGAGAGGUAACAAAGUUAAGGAUUUCUCGGAAUUACAUAAGAGCAACAGUCGUUCGUAUGGCAAGAGGCCGUUGAAGCGUUUAUCACCAUCAGUUUACGCACAGAAGUCUUGUGAAAAGUUUUCAUGUUCAGUAACCUAUAGUAUCCCCUUUGCCAAUAAGAUUUCAACAUCAGAAGUUCAUGCUCCAGCUGUUGAUAAUGUCUCUUUUGCCUGUAAAGCUGAAACGGCUUAUGCUUCACGGUUUGGAAAUGAUGUUGUGCAACAAAUAGUUGGACUUGUUCAGUCUUCAAAUGCCGCUAAGCCUCAGACUUUUCAAGAUUGGUCGGAGUCCCUUGUUUCAAGAUUUAUACUGGAUUUACAGUGUCCAGUGUAA